CCUCUCAUGGCGUAGUGGUAACGCGCCACAACUAGAGAUCGGGGAGUCGUGAGUUCGAUUCUCACUGAGAAGA
rfam:Aedes aegypti strain Liverpool supercont1.274 genomic scaffold, whole genome shotgun sequence.